GGAGCUAACGCGUUAAGUCGACCGCCUGGGGAGUACGGCCGCAAGGUUAAAACUCAAAUGAAUUGACGGGGGCCCGCACAAGCGGUGGAGCAUGUGGUUUAAUUCGAUGCAACGCGAAGAACCUUACCUGGUCUUGACAUCCACAGAACUUUCCAGAGAUGGAUUGGUGCCUUCGGGAACUGUGAGACAGGUGCUGCAUGGCUGUCGUCAGCUCGUGUUGUGAAAUGUUGGGUUAAGUCCCGCAACGAGCGCAACCCUUAUCCUUUGUUGCCAGCGGUCCGGCCGGGAACUCAAAGGAGACUGCCAGUGAUAAACUGGAGGAAGGUGGGGAUGACGUCAAGUCAUCAUGGCCCUUACGACCAGGGCUACACACGUGCUACAAUGGCGCAUACAAAGAGAAGCGACCUCGCGAGAGCAAGCGGACCUCAUAAAGUGCGUCGUAGUCCGGAUUGGAGUCUGCAACUCGACUCCAUGAAGUCGGAAUCGCUAGUAAUCGUGGAUCAGAAUGCCACGGUGAAUACGUUCCCGGGCCUUGUACACACCGCCCGUCACACCAUGGGAGUGGGUUGCAAAAGAAGUAGGUAGCUUAACCUUCGGGAGGGCGCUUACCACUUUGUGAUUCAUGACUGGGGUGAAGUCGUAACAAGGUAACCGUAGGGGAACCUGCGGUUGGAUCACCUCCUU
rnacentral:rRNA from 1 species